AUUGAACGCUGGCGGCAGGCCUAACACAUGCAAGUCGAACGAGUGGCGGACGGGUGAGUAAUGUAUGGGAAACUGCCUGCUGGAGGGGGAUAACUACUGGAAACGGUAGCUAAUACCGCAUACCAUCAGAUGUGCCCAGAUGGGAUUAGCUUGUGGGGGGGGUAACGGCUCACCAAGGCGACGAUCCCUAGCUGGCCUGAGAGGCUGACCAGCCACACUGGAACUGAGACACGGUCCAGACUCCUACGGGAGGCAGCAGUGGGGAAGAUUUGGCAAUGGGCGCAAGCCUGAUGCAGCCAUGCCGCGUGUAUGAAGAAGGCCUUCGGGUUGUAAAGUACUUUCGGCGGGGAGGCGUUACCCGAAGAAGAAGCACCGGCUAACUCCGUGCCAGCAGCCGCGGUAAUUC
rnacentral:rRNA from 1 species